GAUCGAUGAAGCAGUGUAAGCUCCAGUGGACAGUGAAAAAAGUUGUACAAAGUAGAUCUCUUAAGAAUGGGCCGAUGUUCUAGGAGGAAGCAAGGGUAUCCAGCAUUGGUUAGAAUAACAGGAAGGAAUGGAGUGUUGUCUAUUGUGUGGACAGAGUAUUGUUAGGCCCUGUCCAAGGUUAAGUCUGUUAGAUUCUCGUCUACAUUCAUGAACUGCAUGUUGUUAAUUAUCCCGUGGAACCAAGGUUAAUUAUCCCGUGUUAUUUGUAAGAAGUUGUACCUGUAGCAAUUUGUCGUCUCCAAUAUCUGGUUUAGCUGGCCACCAUGUUCAGUUUGGACUCCACGGGUUCAGAAAGCACACCGAAUCCUUGUCACCGCUACCUUCCUCCUUCCUAAAAGAGAAGUCGCUAAACUUUGUUCAAGAACCACAGGAAGAACCUAAUGCCAGAAUAAUCUAGUACAUCUGAGCCCACCAAUAUUCACUGUUAAGCAUCAUGGAAUCAGGAGUGGUAUUACGGUAGAAUCAAGAACAGUCCUUGAGAUUGGCCUAUAAGAUAGGAUCAUGAUUCCGUCAAAAAGAAGUUGUGAGUAUUAUUUCAAACACUGCAGAGUACAGUAUAAUCAAGUACAGGCUGUAUAUAGCAAGUCAAAGCGGACAUAUGUCGAUUCCAUAUUGUUUCCAGCCAUAAAAAUUACACUCUUCUCUCUACAAGUAACAGGACAGGAUGAAACUAAACUUCAUUGAGAACAAGGCAGGACAAGUACAUCAAGAUAAAACCAUAUUAGCAACCAUAGUGGGCAUAUAGACACACAAGUCACAGUGUCAGACACUAAUACUUCACUAAUCCAGGCAGCAUCUGCCACAUUGUCAUCUAAAUUUAACAGCUUGAGUACAACAAAAACAGACUAGCAUCACACACAAAUGACACAUACCUAGCUAUGAGCUCGCAUUGCCCUUCACUGCCUUAUUCGUCGCGCGCCCUUGAUCUACAGGAG
rnacentral:lncRNA from 1 species